rnacentral:rRNA from 1 species
UACGGAGGGUGCAAGCGUUGUUCGGAAUUACUGGGCGUAAAGCGCGCGUAGGUGGCUUUUUAAGUCAGGUGUGAAAGACCUCGGCUCAACCGAGGAACUGCGCUUGAAACUGAAUAGCUUGAGUGUUGGGGAGGAAAGCAGAAUUCCUGGUGUAGAGGUGAAAUUCGUAGAUAUCAGGAGGAACACCGAUGGCGAAGGCAGGUCUCUGGGCAUUAACUGACGCUGAGGGGCGAAAGCAUGGGGAGCGAACAGGAUUAGAUACCCUUGUAGU